rnacentral:rRNA from 1 species
UACGUAGGGCGCGAGCGUUGUCCGGAAUUAUUGGGCGUAAAGAGCUCGUAGGCGGCCUGUUGCGUCCGCUGUGAAAUCCCGGGGCUCAACCCCGGGCUUGCAGUGGAUACGGGCUGGCUAGAGGCAGGCAGGGGAGAACGGAAUUCCCGGUGUAGCGGUGAAAUGCGCAGAUAUCAGGAAGAACACCCGUGGCGAAGGCGGCUCUCUGGGACGGUACUGACGCUGAGACGCGAAAGCGUGGGGAGCGAACAGG